rnacentral:tRNA from 1 species
GGCCUUAUCGUCCAACGGUUAAGACUUAACAACUUCACUGUUAUAAUGCUGGUUCAAUUCCGGCUAAGGCUA